rnacentral:lncRNA from 1 species
CCAGCAAGGAUUAUCUUUACUAUAUCUCUCAGCAACGGUGACCAUCAAUCCGUGCUCAGAUAUCGAGUUUUGAACUCAAAUAGAUGUAUAUCUAAUCUACUGCUUACAUCUAUACAUGUAGAUUUUAUCUUCUGUUAUUUUUUAGAUUUUAUAUACCACAUAUCAUGUCAUAGAUCUUAAAGUAGGUUGAUUUGAUGAUUAGAUCAGAUUUUAUCUUUGACCACCUCUGCCUU